UACAGAGGGUGCGAGCGUUGUUCGGAAUUAUUGGGCGUAAAGGGCGCGUAGGCGGCGCGGUAAGUCGGGUGUGAAAUCUCGGAGCUUAACUCCGAAACUGCAUUCGAUACUGCCGUGCUUGAGGACUGGAGAGGAGACUGGAAUUUACGGUGUAGCGGUGAAAUGCGUAGAUAUCGUAAGGAAGACCAGUGGCGAAGGCGGGUCUCUGGACAGUUCCUGACGCUGAGGCACGAAGGCCAGGGGAGCAAACGGG
rnacentral:rRNA from 1 species